rnacentral:tRNA from 1 species
AAUAUGCGACACACGAAUAAGACAAUCAAACUUUAAAGAGACGUACAGAGCAGGAGUAUAUUCUGAAUAAAUCAAUGAGAAU